UGUUGGCCUGUUAGGAUUACUAUGGUUAUUCUCUGAAAUUUCCGAUGAGUCGCCGGAAGAAGAACUUCAUUGCAAUGUGCGCUGGCGGUGUCUCGGUGUUGAUACUUACUAUUUCGAGAGUUUGGAAAGGAAAUGUUGAAAUCCGAGAGCAGGGCCUACCAACUACCAAGUUAGUUUUCUUUCCACGAUGGUUCUCCACCAUUUCUACUCUUUUGCUUUAUAUAUUUGCGCCCACAGUUUCCAAAAAAGAGAUGAGAACACACUUUUAAACGACACACCCCGAAUCACGAGGGAAAAGAAAAACUGCUUUCAAAUGUUUUUUAAAGCUGGAAAAUUUGUUUUUUACAGAUCGCUAAGCGUUAAUGAAGUUUUCUAGAAAAAGAAAACUUUAGUCAAAAGGGGGAUAGAAAAACAAUUUAUUUCUCUGUGAAUGAUACUGAUUUUGCUCGGAUUAAACUCCAUUUUAGUUCCUUUAUUCUUUGAAUAAAUUGAUUGUGCGGCCUUGAAAAUAUGCAAGUGAGCAUAUUCGAAGUCAAAUUGGUUACUUUUUAGAAAUGGUGGCGAGGGAUUAAGAUAAGAUAUAUUAGAAGUUCUAAGAACAAUUUCAUAUUCCACUCCAUUUUAAGUUUGGACACGAUCGUUUCACAAUUCACAAAGACCCCCCAAGCUUUUCUUUUAGAGAAAUGUCCAAUUCCCAAUCCUAUCAGCUAACUGAAGUAUGGCUGGUCUUGGGCCACUCUGGUUUUAUCUGCAUGACAAAGUGGGUCAAGACUGAGACAAUCUAUAAGCCUUAUCAUUCCAUCAUUUUGAUUCAAUUACUCUCUUAUCCCCAUAUCCUUUUUUUCAUGCCCCGACCCUACCAUUAUCCAUUCACUUUCUGACAUGCCCCAUUCUCAUCCAUCCAUACAUUUAUCCAUCCAUCUAUCAUAUUGGGACUACUUGUUCUUAUACUCAAAGAACCAUUUAGUCAAGUCCUGAAGAGAAUACCAUUCACCAUGGACGGGAAAGUUGACCGAACAGAUCAGAAGUUGAAUGGUCGGCUUAACGAGAUUGUUGACAAGAGAAUGAAGCGUAACGUUCGAGGUUCAAAAGACUUCCUAACACUUAUUUUGAGGGCAAGAGAAUCAGGGACGGUAUGAAGGAAUGUCUUCACUCCAGACUCUACAUCAGUGCAGUCACAUACGAACACCCUACUUGUUGCUGGGUCAGCUUCUCUUGUAUAUUUAGUUGCUGGACAUCCAGAAGUAAGGGAAGACGUUGCUAGAAGCAAUCAACGACUUUGGUCAAUCAGAUCAGAUACCAAUAGCUGCUAAUGAUCUUCAGAAGAAGUUUCCAUAUCUUGAACAGGCUAAGUCGUUUCUGGUCUAUUGUUCUCAUUUCUGUGGUUUAAGACCCUCUCACAUGAAGAAUGUUUUGCUUUCAGUUUGAAUGCAAGUAUCUAUCAUCAAAGUUAUGUGAAAAGAAGAUUAUGUA